rnacentral:rRNA from 1 species
UACGUAGGGUGCAAGCGUUGUCCGGAAUUAUUGGGCGUAAAGGGCGCGUAGGCGGCCACUGCAAGUCGGUUGUGAAAUCUCCGGGCUUAACCCGGAAAGGUCAAUCGAUACUGCAGGGCUAGAGUGCAGAAGGGGCAACUGGAAUUCUCGGUGUAGCGGUGAAAUGCGUAGAUAUCGAGAGGAACACCUGCGGCGAAGGCGGGUUGCUGGGCUGACACUGACGCUGAAGCGCGAAAGCUAGGGGAGCGAACGGG